GCUUCCCGUCCUAAUCCUCACGUCAAACACGACUGCGGCAUCCUUGUCGGGUAUAGGACGCUUGCAGAGACGCGGCAAGCUGCACGUCCAUGCACGCGAGCUGCAGGAUGCUCACUGAGUGGAGGAGUGCUGUGCUCUGGGAACUCUCAAGAUGACAUCCUGCUGUCGCCUUAGGUGCCCGUUUGGGCACACCUCCGAAUCUCUUAAUGGCACUCAAGCGACAGAGAGCUCUCCUCAAUACCUGCAUGAGAACUCCACAGAAUACUAGUGAAAUAUUGUUCAGAGCUCUACAGCCUUCACAAGCUUUUCAGAGUCCCACAUAUGAGGAGCUGUUUUGCACACUAUCUUUGCAUAAAGUAACCUUGACGCAGCUAGCAGAAGCUCUGCUGUUGGUAUUCUUGAUAGCUCUACAAGCACGAAGUUUCAGGGUCUCAAACCUCCAAAGGCUACAAGGUUCUCUAACUUUUUCGACAUCUUUCACCCCUGAGUCGCCAGCAUCGUUCCACUCUCUCAGUAUUCCUUACGCGAAAACUUGAUGAACCCCUGCCGGAGAAUAACACAUCGGUGACGUUGCGGCCCUGCGAUAUGCACCACGCCUGAUGCGGCGAGAGGCGUCGCACACUCCUGUCCACAGCUUAUCAUCAUCGAACUGAUGCUACUGUGUACUGUACCUGCAGCAGCGUCGGCGCAUGCGACUAGAGAGAGUUGCCGCGCUCGGUGACUUCCUGCCUUUCAAAAAUGCCGACCUUUCCUUUGAAGCGCUGGGAGACGACUGCUUGCCCAAAUGCUGCAAAAAAGAUCGACGAGUCAGCCAGCGAGCGUGCCCGCAACUUCACAAUGUUUCCUUGGGACACUAUUAUGAGCCAGGCUCGAAACUGUGAAUUCUCAACCCCGUGGAAACACCUGUGAGCAGCACAGCCCUCUGACAAACAUGCCCACUUUUGCUAGCAAGCAUUAGACAUGAGAAAGUGCACCGCUGUGGAUGACAUCCGUACUUUCAUGAACAAGCGCGUAAGCUCCCUCUCUCAUCUUGCAAAAUUUACCGCCGUCGUUGACACUUCUCAAAAACCAACGCUGCUUUGAGUGAAGCGACAUUUCUGCCCUCGUUCCUCACACAUCCUCUUGCACCUCUUUCUGACAGGGCUGAGGGUUUUCGGUAUCUCCCCGACUGCGCCCGCUGCGACGGUUGUGUGCUUGUGCGGUCACGAAAGUACCGAGUUGCUGGACACUGGUAAGCUGUACACGGCCGUGAAGCUGUGCACUCUGUGUCACAAGGAUGAUUGUCUACGUAUUUCCUUCCUUUGACAGCAUUUUUGUAGCCUCUACGAUGCCUUAUACUUUGUGCCGCUGAGGCGGUCCACACCUCUUUUCCAGCAUUGGGUGCCCACGACGUGACCACACACUGCCAGCGUGGGCAGUGCAUAGAAUCCUCUGCCGUACCGAUGUGUCCCUGCCCCGUUGGGCCCCCUUGUGCGCCUUUCGUCUGUGAAAGGGUCAAG
rnacentral:misc_RNA from 1 species